GGGUCGAUGGCGUAGUUGGUUAUCGCAUCUGUCUAACAAGUGUACACAGAAGGUCCUCAGUUCGAGCCUGGGUCGACUCA